UUGCAGCCAAUUAAGCCGACUGUGCUCUUUCCACUGUGGGAGCCCAGUGUGCCAUGGCCGAAAACAGCAACCUCUGUAGUAUAUACAGCCUGUUGCCCUAAGGGACCUUGGCGACAGCC
rnacentral:snoRNA from 1 species